UGUCAAAUGAAUCCGAGUUUGACAUAACAAAUUUGCAUUAUGCACCAAUGAUGCUUCCUCUUGGUGUCAUUUUGCCUCAUCAAACCAUAAGAGUCAAUUAGCUUCUGCCUCAUCUGCUUGAUAAGUUCCUUUUUAUUAUUCCUUUUUUUCUACACUUUUUUAAACCUAUUAGAAAAACACAAGGCAUAUUUCAAUGUGUUGAAAUCUUUAUCAAUUAUUUUACAUGAUAAUUUGCAUAUUGAAACACUUUUUAGAGGCAAAGUUUGCACUAAAAUAAAAGAAGCAGUAUUUCGUUUUACAAAACAACUUGCACAAAUGGCCAAUGAGAUCUUUGGAGAUCUCAAAGAAAUAGUUGAAAAGGAUGCUAUAGAGACUGUAAUAACAGAUGGAGUCCAUCCUUUAACAAGCUAUAUGAUUAAUUUCGUGAGGGUUUUAUAUGACUACCGGUCCACCUUGAAGCAACUGUUAUGAGAAUUUGAAGGUGGAGACUAUUCUUUGCAGCAGGCAUCUGUAACUAAGCGAAUAAUGAAGGCUUUGGAAUCCAAAAUAGAUUCGAAAUCAAAGCAGUAUAGAAACCCUGCAUUUAAGCAUAUUUUUCUCAUGAACAAGAUUUAAGCAUUUUUUUUUCUAAUCCUCUUAUAUUUUAGCUCUGAAGCCAAGGAUAUAUUAGGGAAUGAUUAGGUACGACUAGUGAAAUUGUGCAGUACCAUGCAAUUCAAUACAUAAGAAAUGCUUGGACAAAGGUAUUGUUCUAUUGACCCAAUUCUGUGCAUUAUGUUUGAAAUGUAGGAGUUGCAGAAGCAACAAUUGUCGACAAUCAGGUGCCUUCUUUUGUUUAGUUUUAUUUUUUUGUAUUAAUUUGAAUUUUCAAUCAUUUUUGUGUUUCUUUUCUCUGUGUAGAUACCACUGAUUGGCCCUAAUUCAGUAGUUGGAAGAGCCUUGGUGGUUCAUAAGCUUGAGGAUGAGCUUGGAAAAGGUGGGAAGGAGCUCAACUUGAGCAUUGGAAAUGCUGGUGGAAGAUUGGCAUGUGAAGGAAGCAGAAAGGCUCAAAUUUUCAUUUUGUGUGUUCUCUUCAACUGAUUAAGCUGGUGGCAGUGGCAAAACCUUUAAUGUUUCGAGCUUCAACUACCCUGAGACUAGGCUUAUACCCUUUGAUUUGCGUUACAUCAAAGGAGUUGUCAUUAGAUUCUUCACAAUAUGUUUGUUCUGCUUUGGCUUCAGUAAUAAUGGGAAUGGCUCCAGUAUUAGGAAAGAGGAGUGCAACACAGUUGAAGCAAUACCCACAAAUCUCCAUAUCUUUGGCUGCUUCAGCCACUGCUGAAUCUUGAAGACCAAGGAAGCCAUCUUGAGUUGUGAUCAGUGUCUAAGAAUUACUAGUUUCACAUACUAUUUAGUAUAGUUGAUUGUUUUAGUAUGGUUGAAUAAUACAUUGAGGAUUAUAGUUGAUGUAUCAAUACACUUUGUUUAUAUUUUGAAUUAUAUUGA